rnacentral:misc_RNA from 1 species
ACCUGCUACACACGGCGCCUCCCAGACUCUUUGUCACCGGACCGCCCGGUACAGGUAAAACUGUGGUGCUGCUGCUGAUGGCCAUACAGUGGCUUCGGUGUGGUCACCACGUCUACGUUGUCAGUACCUGGAGUGAGAGUCGUGCAGCGAGCAGCAUGUUGUAUCACCUGUUGCUGCAGACAGUAAAGACACAACAGUCAGCAGGUGUGUCACCCGGUCAGCCUCACCUCCUGCUGUAUCAUCUUGAUGACGAUAAAGACGUGAAGAAGGCCGUCAAGAACUUGUCAAAAAAAGCAAGCGGAGGGUCGUUGUACGUCAUCGCCGAUGAAGUAGGGAGUGAUUUGAGACUUUGUGUGACAAGCUGCUGAUACAAGUUCCUCGUCUCCAUCUGUGGGCGGCAAGUUAUUUCCACAAAAACGCACCCUCCGGCUGGCAAGUGGAACAUUUAACCAGACCCCUCCGCUCUCCUCCGGCCGUCGUCAGGGAAGUCGAGCAGGACAAGAAGAUCAUAAAACACCGUGAUGUCAAGCCGUACAGUGAGCGAGGUGUACCCAACCACACAGACGGCCCGCCAGUCACACGACUGUAUCACCGAGGUCACUCAUGUCACAGGUCAGCUGACUGUGUCACGUGCGGUCGUGAGGUGGCCAGCUUCCUACACAGUCUCCGUGUUGGUGUUACAGAGAGAAACACAACAUCUACAACACUGACCGAUACCAGCAGCGGCACAACACCCUGUCUACAGUGGAGAGACGUGCUGCUGUUGUACUGGGAUGACGUUAGUGGCGACUCGGGUAUGGUUACAGAGCUGCAAGAAGCGGGUAUCCCAGUGCGGGUGAUGAAGGACGAUGACAUCGAGGACGUGGCCACGGCCCGCAGUGACGUGGUGUGGAUGGCGGACGGACAUCAUGUUCGUGGUCUGGAGAGAAAAGUCGUCGUGUGUCUAGGGGACUCUGUUGACGAUUCUUUUGUACCUACAAUACCAGAGUUAUUCUAUAAGACUUUCCGACUUGACCUCAUGUCCCGCUGUACGUCACAACUUGUGAUUGUCUACGCAAACGACUGGAUGUGGCAAUGACACUGACACACCUGUCACCUGCUGUAGUCGUGUGUGAGUCUCUCACAUCAAAAGUUGUUUUUAGGUUUUGUCCUCUUCUAUUCUCAGUCUAUCACCACGUCAUCACCUUAUGAUGUCAAAGACAAGACGUCAUUACAGUUUUUUGCAACACGAGGUCUGUGUCACUGUUUACACAACAACAAGUGUCAACAAGUUUGUCUGUUAGAGAGGUGUGUGUGUGUGUGGUAAUGUGUCACCAGAUCCGUGCGUGUCAAUGUGUCAGUCUGCCAGUGUGAUAUCUGUGUGAAUGUGUCAGUGUACCUGUCACGGACCAGUCCGUGCCUCCUGUGUUUUUGAUUUUUUUUUUUUGGGAGCGUGUGACAGUGCCCGUGCCUCUCGCGGCAAUGCAGUGAGUAGUGUUCACCUCGCACUCUGGCGGAGUGAACUGUUUUAGAGCAUUCCCAACGCCACCGCCUAGACGGUCGGUCGUACUGUAUGUCUGGAUUAUAGAAUCUGUGAAUUAAGUUCCUUACCUAGACAAGGUAACAGAUUAAAUAUUUGUUACAGUUUAGAUAUAAGUAGCAUUUCUAAAUUAAUCACGUGGUGACUUAAUUUCUAACAGUAAAUAUAUUCUUUUGACGUUAUGGAAGUAUCUGAUAGGUUAAGUUAUAAAUUCGUUAGAUUAAAUAAAUCACCGAGUUACAGGAACUUCGAGAGGGGACCCACUAAAGUGGACAAGGUUUUAAAGAGAAGUCCUAACAGCGGCAAGGUCCAAGAGCCUCCCUAUGCCUACUCCAUUUUGAGUCUGACGUCCGGGGUUGUUACCUGUCGACGUCUUGGAGUGAUAUUCCGGGACCCAGUGUUCGGAAUACGUAGCAGCGUGGAGUGUGUAUUUUUUUGUAGCAUUGUGUGAGAUACGGAUAUCCUGGAGGAAUACGUAACAGCUUGGAGUGUGUAUUAGUGUGUUGCGGGAGUGUGUCGGUGUACCUGCACGCUCACCGUGGACGGACUGAGUGUUCCUGACGCCGAGAUACGUCGGACAUUUUGAUGCUUACUGAAGUGACUCUGGCAAACAGUAACGUAAGUGUAUUCAUAUUCUUUAUCAGGGAGACCCUUUGUACUCUGGACCAGGUUCCAGAUUGGUGAUCUCCGUUACGGGACUGAUCAGUUACCAAUGUAUUAUAGAUGUUUUGACGAGUGAGAGGGAGAGAUUUUUUUUGUGUAAUAUUGAGGCAGCAGGGAAAGCUUGUGUAUCUGUACUCUUCGUGGUACUCUCUAUUUUUGUUUACCUUUUGUGUACGACCUGUUGACAGCUAUCCACCUAGAGUGGGCAUAAGCACCAGCCCCCAGCGGGCUAUGUUAGUAAAGUAAGACGAGAAGCCCAAUGGACAGAUCGUUGUCUUGUGUGUUGUUUGAAUGCGCGUGAAUACCGUGUGUGACGCGGUGAGUGACAGUACCAGUGUCAUAUCUGUGUCAAUGUGUCAGUCUAUCAGUGUCAUAUCUGUGUCAAUGUGUCAGUCUACCAGUGUCAUAUCUGUGUCAAUGUGUCUAUAUGUUGUACGCGUGCUGUCAAAGGGCCUCAGCAGACUGUAAUGUCAGUGCCGUGCACUAAAGUGUUUAGUCUGAUAUUGUUUACUGCCAGUGGUAAACAAAGGGGACAGAACUCUGAGACUAAAUACAGACACGAUUGGUUCAUCAAAACUCACUUCACUGAGUUAAGAGAUUCAUUGAUGUAAACACAACAAACACUAGCGGCUCACUUAUACAACACAUGUUACAAGUUUAACUGUUUGACACAAACACAUUCACUCGAUGUACAAAUGUUGUUUCACAUGCUUUAUAAAUGUCGCCACACGUUUCACAAUGAGUGUUUCAAUAAAGAUUGUUGUUGUUAGUUUAAAACAGGUACAAACAGUUGUUAAGUGGUUAAAAUAGUUGUAACAGUGACGUCACCCACAGGCACCACGUGCGCACUGUUACAACAGUCAAACACCAGGCUGACAAUAUAAACAUACACCACACAACAAAUAAACAAUAAAUACCAAUGACAGGAUACAAUACCUACACCACGAUCACAUGACACUGUUACAGUUUGCCAACAUCUUGUCACAACACACACUAUACCCUGACCGUGACAUGUCAUGACACGAAGUCUCACAAUCAGCCAUUGCUGACGUCAUGUUAGCCCUCAGUGACGUCACGUGGAUGGAGGAUGAAGUUGGACAGCGACUGUCAUCUGUCAGAAAAGCGAUGAUGAGGGCGAAGAUAAGACGCGUGUGUACCUCUGUGUGUCGAUGAUCUGUUUGACUAAAGAAAACCUUUUCGCGAUCUGUUUUGAUGGAGUCAACACAUGUGUAACUUAGGACUAGACAUGUCACUUGUGUGUUUGACUGCAGCUGUCCUGUGUCUUGGGUCACGUGGCUAGAGCUGUGAACUGCGCUGUGUGCUGGUUGUUCUUGUCUUGUAUGUUGAUGUUUUUUUAACAAAAGUUCUCUAAAGACAUCUCUAAAGCAGCACUAGCGAACGUACGCUGAGCAUAUCAUCCCAGAAAACUACAGAAUCCCAAGGAAUAGAGGGGCGACAGUGACAGAAGGCAGCCAAUAAAAUGUAAAAGCAAAGUAGACCUCAUCCAUUCAACAAAGACACGUGUUUGUUGUCGACAGUUCACAUCACAAGAAGUGAGAUGACAGACCGAGUACUAAACCUAAAGAAAGAGGCGAUGCUACCGAUGAAGAUAACAUCGCUCACUCAGGAAGCAGGCAACAAAAGGUCAUCGCUAACGAGCUGUGUCUUUCAUCUACAAAGAAAAGCUGACAACAACGAUGUGAAAAGAACGGUAGUCAACCUUUAACUAAUAGUAAAAUAACAAAGCGAUCACCAAACAAACAACAAACAACUUACCCAGGCUGCCUUACAACGAUCAGAAGGAAGAGAGUUGUGUAGUCAGUGAGACACACCUGUAGGCUACCUGGUGAUAAAACAUGGCGACCCUUCACACUCCUGUGUAUCACAUCUUUGGUAUGUAAGUAUUCCCGAGCAGACACUCCACCCCGCAGGGUAU